rnacentral:rRNA from 1 species
UAGGGAAUCUUCGGCAAUGGGGGGAACCCUGACCGAGCAACGCCGCGUGAGUGAAGAAGGAUUUCGGUUCGUAAAACUCUGUUGUUAGGGAAGAAAAAAUGUAUAGUAACUAUAUACAAAAGAGACGGUACCUAACCAGAAAGCCACGGCUAACUACGUGCCAGCAGCCGCGGUAAUACGUAGGUGGCAAGCGUUGUCCGGAAUUAUUGGGCGUAAAGCGCGCGCAGGUGGUUUAGAAAGUCUGAUGUGAAAGCCCACGGCUCAACCGUGGAGGGUCAUUGGAAACUAAUAAACUUGAGUGCAGGAGAGAAAAGUGGAAUUCCUAGUGUAGCGGUGAAAUGCGUAGAGAUUAGGAGGAACACCGGUGGCGAAAGCGGCUUUUUGGCCUGCAACUGACACUGAGGCGCGAAAGCGUGGGGAGCAAACAGG